UUUUUUUUUUAGCUGAGGAAAAAAUGCAGGAGACAAAUAAUACUUCUUAUAAAAUAUUAUUCAUAGAUCAGUUUCCACUAAGUCACUUUUCCAUUCACAAGCCUCAUCCAUUUUUUUCAUGUUGAUUUUGUAAAAGUGAUUAAAUAGCUUUAACAACAAUAGAAUUACAAGUGUUCUAAGGAAGCAAGAAGCUUUCGGUGGGAUAUAAUAUUGCUGUUUUUUUCUGAAGACAGUCAGUUACAAUCAAGUGGCUACAAAGAUGACAAGUACAUUCACAUCUUCCUGCAAUUUUCAGAUGUGCUGAAUUUAAAAAGAUUUAGGAAACUUAAGUAUGUUGCUCAGGGUAGCUUCUAGUCCAAUGGAGUUUUGACUACAUAGUCCUGGCAAUGAUUUCCUCCAAUAUUUGCAAUAGUGUUUAUUUAUUUGUUCUACUAUUUCCAUUCUGUAUGUAACUUCCCUUGAUUUUAUCAUUACUGCAAUUAAUUGUCCUAAAUCUACAAGAGUAUUGGAAGCAGAAUUUAGCUUAGACAAAUCAGACUUAAUUUGCAAGAUAUUCACCGCAGCACAAUCUCUGCUGAAAUGUUUACAAGCUGCCUGUAGAGGAGAACUAAAAGCCAAGAGGGAUCUCAGAAAGAUGCCUGGGGAAAGAGCAAGUUUACCUAAUUACAUAUGCCAUGCCAUAAUUGCUUUCUUCUUUCUCUGGAUUCAACAGUAGUGUUGAGAGCUGUAGUAUUUUAUUUCAACUCUGUUCACUACACUUCCCAUUCAAAACAAAAAAGUGGGUUAAGCUACUAUAAGGUGAUAGGUGUCCAAAACCUGAUAUCAGCAGCCUAAUGCAAAAGCCUUUGCAAGUCUAAAAAAACUUUGUCCUUUAUUUCAGUGAGUUUUAGAGCUAAGAUUUCUUUCCUCUGAGCAUCUACCUGCAGUGCCCUAAUACCUGCUCACUGCAUCUGAAUUUAUGACAUGAUCCUCUGUGACUUCCAACUGCAUAACCUACUGUAUCAAAAUCCAAGAGGAGGUGUAGAUGUAACUUGAAUUCAGUGAGCCCCCCACAACAAAACUUUUAGAAGCAGAACUCCUAGCUGCUCCCAUAUGAAAUGAAACAUCUUGCUGUUUAUAGAAAUAUCUGAAAAAAGCCCAAAACUUUACAUAAAUCCUCUGCCAAAAUGCACAAGAAGUGAAAAGCAUGUCAAUAAGAACAAUAAAAUAGAAAUGUAAAUAAAAUGUAAAUGGAAAUAUAUUCUGGGAUUAAAAAAAUGGAAAAGGAGAGGAGGGCUAGACUGGGAGAACAGAAUGUGUACAAGGUGGGCAGAUACAAUCUAGGUUACUCUUCGCUUUGUGGAUGAACAUUCCUGAGUAGCAAAGGAAGACAAAGAACAGCCUUAAUAAGAGGGGGCACAUGAAGGUCAAAAAACACAUGGGUCUUAGAGACUCAUUUACUGAUUUAAUCCAGAAUUUUGAAUUUAAUAAAGCUUGAAAACAGAGAUGCUGGAAGCUAUUAAAAAAAGAAUGCUGUGAAAGCCAAUGUAUGAAGCAACUUGAGAUGUUCGUUGAUGACACCAUAUGAGCAAAGAGACUUCCACCCAAGUAAUGUGUUUCAUUUUUACAUCAUUAGCCUGGAUGGAAUGAGGAGAUGGUUGAGAUCUGAACACUAAUGAUCCCCAUAAUCUGUAAGUAGAGAGAUCUAUAAUUCUGAUGAACCUUGGGAAAUCAUAAAGAAAAUGGUAUUUAGAUAGCAAUAUCCUAAAGAUCACAGAAAUCUGGGGCUAAACAGUGGGGAAAAAUGGAAGGAGCAAAGAAAGAAGUGGAAAUCUAAUGAAUCAGAUGCCAGAAUUUGGUGCCUAAAGGCAUUUGAUUUCUCAGUAACUUAGGAAAGCAAUAAGGUUCAGCGUAAAUCCUAUUGAAACUUAGAUUAUUGCUUUUGCCACUGAGCUCAUGUGUCAGUAGGGCUUUCUGUCUGAAUCAGGCUCUAAUGUGAGACAUUUUAAUUGUGAUUGCUGGGCCAGCAGUAAAUAGUGAGCCUAAUGGGCUGGUAAUAAAUACUUCAGCCAAUGAAUGGAGAGAACAGGCAGAGCAGUGGGGAACACUGAAGAAGACAAGAAGUGACAAAGUAAUGAGUUACCUGUGAUCAAGGAGGAUGGUAGUUGCUGGUGGAAACAAGUGAAAGCAUACCUCAAAAGAAGAGUUGAUGACUUUCUGCUUUGAGGUGGUUAUUUUUUAAAAAUGUAUCUCCACAGUCUGUUGGCCUUGUGAUGGCCUGGUUUGACCUAUCUCAGGAUUGACUUUAGUUUAGUUUCAGUAAGUGAACACUGACGUAGUGGAGAACACAAUCUGGUGCUCAAGAAAAACUCAAACUCCUCCCAAAAGUCAAAAUAUACUUUUCUCUCUCCUUUUUUUUUUUUUUUUUUUUCUUUUCUAUCUUAGAAAUGCUGAUUCAGGAAAGGAAAGUUUCAUAACAAGGUUAUGCAAGUGAGUCCUAUCUUAUUUUAGACUUAGGUUCAUGAUUUUCAUCUGUAUCUCUUGCUUUGGAUUCUUCCUGCCAAACAAGUCAUUGGAAUACAUUUAGAAUCCUGCAGAGUUUAAGAUAUAUGCUCACUAUAUUCUGUAAUAAUCAAAUAGUUAAAAAUAAUCUUCCCUUCUAUUUCAGAUACUAAAAUUUCUGCUGAACUAUGUAGAAAUCAAUGAAGUGAAGCAAAGAAGAAAAUGUGUCUACACAGGUUCUUUCUUUAGAAAAGGAGAAUAUUUAUUUUUUUCUCCAUGGCCAAAUACAGGCUUCUCCUUAUUUCUUUCUAGAGCCAUAUAUAGCAGGACUCACAAGAAAAUUUACCUAAAGCAGGGAACACUGCAAAAACUAUUGUUUUACAAAAUGACAGAGGUCAAAGAGACCUCUGAAGGUUGCCUAAUCCAACAUCCUUGCUCAAAGCAGGGGUAACUAGAGCAGGUGGCUCCAGUCAAGUUCUGAGUAUCUCUGAAGAUGGAGACCCAUCAAUUUCUCUGAGCAACUUGUUCCAGUGUUCAACUACCUGUACAGUAUGAAAGUUCUCUCAUGAUUAAAUGAAAUUUCUUGUAUCUCAACUUGUGCCCCUUGCCUGCUGUCCUUUUAUUAGGCACCACUGAGAAGAGUCUUGCUCUGUUGUCUUUGUCCAUAUCUCUUUCAGGCAUUUAGACACAUUGAAAAGAUCCCCUCCAGGUCUUCUUGUCUAAAUGAAGAGUCUCAGCUCUAUCAGCCACUAUUCAUAUGUUGGAUGUUCUAGUAUCUCAAUCAUCUUCACACUCCUUUGACAAACUCCAGUACAUCCCUAUCUCUCUUGCCCAGAACUGGACCCAGCACUCCAGGUGUCUGUCACUAAGGCCAAACAGAAGGAAGGAUCAGCUCUAUCAACCUGCUGUUGUUGUUCCGCCUGGUAUAGCCCAGGAAUCUGUUGAUCUUUGCUACAACGGUGCAUUGCUGGCUUCUGGUCAACUUGUCCUGGUCAAGAAGCUCUCUCCAAUGUCACUUUCCAAUGGAUUUACUCUCAGCCUGUCCUGGUACACAGGAUUAUUCCUUUCCAGGGUAUGGAAGUGGCAUUUUCCUUUGCUGAGCUUCCUGAGGUUCCUUUCAAUUCAUUUCCUCAUCCUGUUGAAAGGCCUCACAUUUUGGCAAGGUACUCGUCUCUGGAGCAGACAACAUUCUGCGCUGAAGCAGGGAAUUGUCUCAGCUGGUUGAGGGGUAGCCCUGGAAGGGAGCAGCAGGGAGCAGCUGCCGGGUGCCAUUGUCCUCUGCAUGGCAACAUCAUUCUGACAUCAUGGGGGCGGAGCCAGGAGCAGCUGUGGGGUCACCUCCUGCGUGUAUAAAUCCUGCUACCAGGGAGAGCAGCGACCCAGGAGCGGCAUGAACAGGACGGGCAAACAGGGCAUGAACUGCUUCCUUUCCAAACUUUGAAAAGCUGUGGAAAAGUCUAUGGAAGCAAUGUUGGGAGCCCAGGAUACCCAGCAACCAGGCAAUGCCCAGGGAUGCUGGCUCUCCUAUGUUCCUGUUCUUCAUCUAUGUAGUGAUUAAAACAGUACUUUAGUGGUCAGGUAGAAGAGUAUUGGCCAGCUCCAAAUAGAGGCAGAAAUGACCAAGGAGGCUGCAUGAACAUUAUAUAUGUUUUUUAGAAUACGAACAAGGAAAGGCUGAUGGGGAGAAGGACAGUUAGCAAUGUAAGCUGUGUAGCUUGUUAAAUACAUACAUCCUACUCAAAAAAAAUGUAGAUAUUUAACUAAGUAACUGUUAGUAAUGAAGCAAAAUAAUGAGGCAAUAUGUGACAAUAUGCAUCAAUAUAUCAACAUUUAUAAAAAUGUAAGUUAAUUAUAAACAUUUUGAGAAAAGUUGCAUAAUUUUACACACUGCUGGUAUUCACUUAUGGCCCACAGGUAAAUAUUAAAAACUUUGGACAGUAGUACCAAAAAUCACUUUAUAGCUGAUAUAUUAACUUGAUGUGCAGUCCUUGCAAUCCAACUUGGAUACACAGACAAUGAAAUAUUGCAUUUGAAGUGUAGUUUUAAUAGCAAAUCAUAAACAGGCUGACAGAGGUAUGUCACUGAAACCUAAAGAGCAAAAGAGACAAGUAAAAAAAGGAAAAUUGUAUCAGUCUAAGCCUUGGCAGCCUAACUACUACAAACUCUUGGGUCUUUAUCUUAACCCUGGGAAAAUGGGUUG